CCUACGGGCGGCAGCAGUGGGGAAUAUUGGACAAUGGGGGGAACCCUGAUCCAGCCAUGCCGCGUGUGUGAAGAAGGCCCUCGGGUUGUAAAGCACUUUCAGUGAGGAAGAACGCCUGGUGGUUAAUACCCAUCAGGAAAGACAUCACUCACAGAAGAAGCACCGGCUAACUCCGUGCCAGCAGCCGCGGUAAUACGGAGGGUGCGAGCGUUAAUCGGAAUUACUGGGCGUAAAGCGCGCGUAGGUGGCUUGAUAAGCCGGUUGUGAGAGCCCCGGGCUCAACCUGGGAACGGCAUCCGGAACUGUCAAGCUAGAGUGCAGGAGAGGAAGGUAGAAUUCCCGGUGUAGCGGUGAAAUGCGUAGAGAUCGGGAGGAAUACCAGUGGCGAAGGCGGCCUUCUGGACUGACACUGACACUGAGGUGCGAAAGCGUGGGUAGCAAACAGGAUUAGAUACCCUUGUAGUC
rnacentral:rRNA from 1 species